GAUUCACGCUACAAUGUCAUGAUUUCAUUUAGCCAGUAAACAAAUGGCCAAACAAAGUGCUACACCGUGAUUUUGCUGUUGAUCCCAUGCAGAACAGAAUUGAAAAAUAUUUGCCCUCCGUCCCAAAAGAUAGCAGAACAAAAACUUUAUUGUAAUUAAGUGAGAUGAACUGAUUAAAUUUUGAAUAUUCUCGCUCACAAAUAACAAUAAAGCAUACCUUAAAUACGCUUAGCGUCCUUGUGAAUUGCAAUGUGUGUUUAAUUAGAUAAUAAAUUAACUUUUAUUCAUGUAAUGGAAAAAACGGCAGUUAAGUGACAGCUAUUUGGCAUUGUUUUUUAGAUAGUACUUUAUCCUAUUGAGGGAGUUCAUUUAUGCGAAAAUAUUGUUCAAACCAAUUUGAAGCAUUACCAAAUUUAAAGUCAUAAAUGAAAAUGCCAAUAUGCGGUCAGAAUCAAAGCUUAAAAAUGACUUUUAUGGCGGCUCAUCAGCAACUACAAAUACAGUUCAUGUAAUUUAUAUGGGCUUGGUGAAUGGAAUUUAGGGAUUUAUAUGGAAGUUAGCGUGAAAUUAAUGUCUGUCCUUGAAUUUUUCAUAAAGUGCCAAUUCAACAAAAAGUUUGCUCACAUACUGGCCAGGACACGCGCUAACCCUCCGAUACAGACAGCCACAUAGUACAUAUAGAAAGACAAGGAAACGUCGAAACUUGGCGGAAAGUUCUCUUGCCAAGUGUGGGCAGUGAAUUCGUUUAAAAAGCGUCUUAAUCAGCAAUAAAUUCGCAACUAAUCAGUGCUCCUAUUGUUUGGUGUACUCCAAUACCCUCUCAUAUUAAAGUGCCAGAUAACAUAUUUAUAACCCCAGGGCAUUAGCAAAAGCCGCACAAAGAAGUUUCCUGCCGUCUUAGGGCAGUAUAAUAACAAGUCGCAAGAAGCGCGGUGCAUAUUAAGUUUUUACUGAGGAUCUAAAAUGCCAAGCUUUCAUUAAAUAUAUGGAAACCCACUAAAUAUAUGGGACCCACUUCAAAACUAUGAAAUACGCAUGGAGGAUCUAUAUGACUCCCAGUUAAGGUCAUAUCUUCGCCAAUUUUCAUCCGAUUCUUGACCGGAAUACCUUAACCGACUCUUGGUGGGAAUAACUUUAACGUACAAAUUGUGAACUCAACAUUAAUCUCAACUAACAUCAAAAUAAACAUUUUAGUUCGAU